GCCGUAGUGGCCCAAUUGGCAGAGGCGUUCGAUUCAAAAUCGAAAGGUUGUGGGUUCGACUCCCACCUACGGUA
rnacentral:tRNA from 1 species